UAGACUAAACUGGCCUCAUGCACAGAG
rnacentral:piRNA from 1 species